UACGCAGGCAGCAAGCGUUGUUCGGAGUUACUGGGCGUAAAGGGUGUGUAGGCGGUUGUUUAAGUUUGGUGUGAAAUCUCCCGGCUCAACUGGGAGGGUGCGCCGAAUACUGAAUGACUAGAGUGCGGGAGAGGAAAGUGGAAUUCCUGGUGUAGCGGUGAAAUGCGUAGAUAUCAGGAGGAACACCGGUGGUGUAGACGGCUUUCUGGACCGUAACUGACGCUGAGACACGAAAGCGUGGGUAGCAAACAGG
rnacentral:rRNA from 1 species